CCCUUUCCAGUAACAAGAGCAUUCUACUGCACUAUGUUCCAGCACCCAUGUUGCGAAGCCUGCUCAAGUAAGGGUGAUUCUCUGGGACACCAUCCUCCACGCAGACACGGACAUUCAGCCUGGUGGAAGGCAGUCCGUUCACUGGGAUGUAAUGGAUUUUUUAAAGUCUAGAUUGAAGGCAGUAUCCCUUCAUCGUGAUGGAAGGAAUUUAAAACUUUCUAGUUGGGAAGACAAAUGAAAAGCCUCAUAAUGAGGUUAAAGUCAAGGAUGCAAAAGAAACCUACCCCCACAACCACAUAAAUGGCAUGAUAAUGUGUAUGUGUUGCCUCAGACACCACAGUGACUAUCUUUGUAUGAAGUAUAAAGCAGACCAAUUCAGACAAAAAUGAAAAUGUACCAGAAAAAAA
rnacentral:lncRNA from 1 species